rnacentral:rRNA from 1 species
AACUUUCAACAACGGAUCUCUUGGUUCUGGCAUCGAUGANNAACGCAGCAAAAUGCGAUAAGUAAUGUGAAUUGCAGAAUUCAGUGAAUCAUCGAAUCUUUGAACGCACAUUGCGCCCGCCAGUAUUCUGGCGGGCAUGCCUGUUCGAGCGUCAU